GGUUCGGUGGUGUAGUUGGUUAUCACGUCAGUCUAACAAUUGGAAUAUCAAAAUUCCAUCAUGUUGUGCACUGAAGGUCCCGAGUUCAAACCUCGGCUGAAUCA